rnacentral:rRNA from 1 species
UACGGAGGAUGCAAGCGUUAUCCGGAUUUAUUGGGUUUAAAGGGUCCGCAGGCGGGACAAUAAGUCAGAGGUGAAAUCCUACGGCUCAACUGUAGAACUGCCUUUGAUACUGUUGUCCUAGAGUGUAGUUGGGGUAGGCGGAAUAUGUCAUGUAGCGGUGAAAUGCUUAGAUAUGACAUAGAACACCGAUCGCGAAGGCAGCUUACCAAGCUACUACUGACGCUCAGGGACGAAAGCGUGGGGAUCAAACAGGAUUAGAUACCCUGGUAGUCCACGCUGUAAACGAUGGUCACUCGAUGUUGGCGAUACACAGUCAGCGUCUGAGCGAAAGCAUUAAGUGACCCACCUGGGGUGUACGACCGCAAGGUUGAA